CCUACGGGAGGCAGCAGUGAGGAAUAUUGGUCAAUGGACGAGAGUCUGAACCAGCCAAGUAGCGUGAAGGAUGACUGCCCUAUGGGUUGUAAACUUCUUUUAUAUGGGAAUAAAAUGUUCCACGUGUGGGAUUUUGUAUGUACCAUAUGAAUAAGGAUCGGCUAACUCCGUGCCAGCAGCCGCGGUAAUACGGAAGAUCCGAGCGUUAUCCGGAUUUAUUGGGUUUAAAGGGAGCGUAGGUGGAUUGUUAAGUCAGUUGUGAAAGUUUGCGGCUCAACCGUAAAAUUGCAGUUGAAACUGGCAGUCUUGAGUACAGUAGAGGUGGGCGGAAUGCGUGGUGUAGCGGUGAAAUGCUUAGAUAUCACGAAGAACUCCGAUUGCGAAGGCAGUUCACUGGACUGCAACUGACACUGAGGCUCGAAAGUGUGGGUAUCAAACAGGAUUAGAUACCCCUGUAGUC
rnacentral:rRNA from 1 species